rnacentral:rRNA from 1 species
AACGAACGCUGGCGGCAGGCUUAACACAUGCAAGUCGAGCGCCCCGCAAGGGGAGCGGCAGACGGGUGAGUAACGCGUGGGAAUCUACCCAUCUCUACGGAAUAACGCAUGGAAACGUGUGCUAAUACCGUAUACGUCCGUCGGGAGAAAGAUUUAUCGGGGAUGGAUGAGCCCGCGUUGGAUUAGCUAGUUGGUGGGGUAAAGGCCUACCAAGGCGACGAACCAUAGCUGGUCUGAGAGGAUGAUCAGCCACACUGGGACUGAGACACGGCCCAGACUCCUACGGGAGGCAGCAGCGGGGAAUAUUGGACAAUGGGCGCAAGCCUGAUCCAGCCAUGCCGCGUGAGUGAUGAAGGCCCUAGGGUUGUAAAGCUCUUUCACCGGUGAAGAUAAUGACGGUAACCGGAGAAGAAGCCCCGGCUAACUUCGUGCCAGCCGCCGCGGUAAUAC